GGAAUAUUGCACAAUGGGGGAAACCCUGAUGCAGCAACGCCGCGUGAAGGACGACGGUCUUCGGAUUGUAAACUUCUUUUCUUUGUGAAGAAAACUGACGGUAGCAAAGGAAUAAGCAUCGGCUAACUACGUGCCAGCAGCCGCGGUAAUACGUAGGAUGCAAGCGUUAUCCGGAUUUACUGGGUGUAAAGGGAGCGCAGGCGGGACAUCAAGUUGGAUGUGAAAUGUCAAGGCUUAACCAUGGCACUGCAUCCAAAACUGUAGUUCUUGAGUGGAGUAGAGGUAAGCGGAAUUCCGAGUGUAGCGGUGAAAUGCGUAGAUAUUCGGAGGAACACCAGUGGCGAAGGCGGCUUACUGGGCUCUAACUGACGCUGAGGCUCGAAAGUGUGGGGAGCAAACA
rnacentral:rRNA from 1 species